AGUCACUGACAUUAGAUACCCGGGUAGUCCAGGGUGUAAACGCUGCAGACUUGGUGUUGGAGGCCCUUUGGGGGCAGUCAGUGCCGGAGAGAAGUUGUUAAGUCUGCUACUUGGGGAGUACGUCCGCAAGGAUGAAACUUAAAGGAAUUGGCGGGGGAGCACCGCAACGGGAGGAGCGUGCGGUUUAAUUGGAUUCAACACCGUAAAACUCACCAGGGAAGACUGUUACAUGAAGGCCGAGAUGAAGACUCUGCUAGAUUUUCAG
rnacentral:rRNA from 1 species